ensembl:misc_RNA 7SK 7SK RNA
GGAUGUGAGGGUAAUCUGGCUGAGACAUCUGUCACCCCAUUGAUCGCCAGGGUUGAUUCGGCUGAUCUGGCUGGCUAGGUGGGUGUCCCCUUCCUCCUUCACCUCUCCAUGUGUGUCCCUCCCAAAGCUGUGUGCUCAGUGGAAGAGGACGCCCUUCCCCGAAUAGAGAAGGACUGGUCUUCAGUGAGGGUAUAUGAGUAGCCAUGCUCCCCUGCUAAAACCUCCAAACAAGCUCUCAAGAAGCAAGAGGUUAGAAUAUGACCACCACCACAUAUUUGACAUGUUUGGGUGAUCUCAUAGUGUGGUCACAAAA